AUACUUACCUGGCAGGGGAGAUACCAUGAUCAAGUAGGUGGUUUUCCCAGGGCGAGGCCCACCCAUUGCACCUGGGGUGUGCUGACCCCUGCGAUUUCCCCAAAUGCGGGAAACUCGACUGCAUAAUUUGUGGUAGUGGGGGACUGCGUUCGCGCUCUCCCCUG
ensembl:snRNA U1 U1 spliceosomal RNA